rnacentral:rRNA from 1 species
UAGGGAAUUUUGCGCAAUGGGCGAAAGCCUGACGCAGCAACGCCGCGUGCGGGAGGAAGGCCCUCGGGUUGUAAACCGCUUUCAGCAGGAACGAAAAUGACGGUACCUGCAGAAGAAGCCCCGGCCAACUACGUGCCAGCAGCCGCGGUGAUACGUAGGGGGCGAGCGUUGUCCGGAUUUAUUGGGCGUAAAGAGCUCGUAGGCGGUUCGGUAAGUCAGGUGUUAAAACUCCAGGCUCAACUUGGAGAGGCCACCUGAUACUGCCAUGACUAGAGUUCGGUAGAGGAGCACGGAAUUCCUGGUGUAGCGGUGAAAUGCGCAGAUAUCAGGAGGAACACCAGCGGCGAAGGCGGUGCUCUGGGCCGACACUGACGCUGAGGAGCGAAAGCGUGGGUAGCGAACAGGAUUAGAUACCCGGGUAGUCCCUGAGCGGGCUGGCAAGGCGCAU